rnacentral:tRNA from 1 species
GCGAGGGUGGCGGAACUGGCAGACGCGCUAGAUUCAGGUUCUAGUGGCCGCAAGGUUGUGAGGGUUCAAAUCCCUUCUCUCGCACCA